CUGUUGGCCACCAUGAUUGUUCUUUCUCAGCCUUCACUAGUGUUUACCAGUAGGCAAGAGUACCUGGGCAUAGCACUGCUUCUGUCAAACUUUCUUCAAACACACGGCAUGCAUGAUUCCAUAGGUAUACAAGAUGUAAACCCACAGUCAGAUGACUAACGACAGCUCCAGCCUGCUGCGUGAUGCUCCAGGGGAACACUAUUUAUUAAAAAGAGCAUUGUUAAUUCAAAAACAUAUACGGUUAUAUAUGUUUCCCAUAAGAAAAAAGGUUAAUUGUAACACCUCAUGUGUAAUCUACUAAACCAAGUA